UACAGAGGCCUCGAGCGUUGCGCGGAAUCACUGGGCUUAAAGGGCGCGUAGGCCGAUGGGCAAGUGGUUUGUGAAAUCCCAGAGCUCAACUCUGGAACCGCUUGGCAGACUGCAUGGCUUGAGGCCGGUAGGGGGUGCUGGAACGGUUGGUGGAGCGGUGAAAUGCGUAGAUAUCAACCGGAACGCCAAAGGUGAAGACAAGCAACUGGGCCGAUUCUGGCGCUGAGGCACGAAAGCGUGGGGAGCAAACGGG
rnacentral:misc_RNA from 1 species